GUGACCCCAGGAUGGGCGAGGCCACCCGCUGAGUUA
rnacentral:rRNA from 1 species